rnacentral:rRNA from 1 species
CCUACGGGGGGCAGCAGUGGGGGAUAUUGGACAAUGGGGGAAACCCUGAUCCAGCGAUGCCGCGUGAGGGAAGAAGGUUUUCGGAUUGUAAACCUCUGUGGACAGGGACGAUAAUGACGGUACCUGUCAAGAAAGCCACGGCUAACUACGUGCCAGCAGCCGCGGUAAUACGUAGGUGGCGAGCGUUGUCCGGAAUUACUGGGUGUAAAGGGAGUGUAGGCGGGAAGGCAAGUCAGAAGUGAAAAUUAUGGGCUCAACCCAUAACCUGCUUUUGAAACUGUUUUUCUUGAGUGAAGCAGAGGCAAGCGGAAUUCCUAGUGUAGCGGUGAAAUGCGUAGAUAUUAGGAGGAACACCAGUGGCGAAGGCGGCUUGCUGGGCUUUUACUGACGCUGAGGCUCGAAAGCGUGGGGAGCAAACAGGAUUAGAUACCC